rnacentral:lncRNA from 1 species
CUCUGUUUGAAGCAGAAGCCAUUUCACAUUAGAUGUUGCCUAUGUUCCAGUGGCAUAUAAAAUCCCACAUUAAACAAGACAUCAUUUUGUUGUACAUCUUUCAUCAUUACAGUUGGGUAAGGAGGUUGGGGAGAUUUUGUCUCUCACCACUUCUCAGGAAACUGGAUGUCAACAUAUGAACCCCUCCCCUCUGUUACCAAGGGCGAGAGAUAUUGGUGGCUUCUUCUUGGAUCUCUGAAUGGUGGUGAGAUCAACCUCUGGGCCAGCCAAGUAUGGAACUCAAUCCAAAACAACGGACUUCUUUUGUUUCGUGUCAGUUCAGCUUCCUACAAACAAAAUUAAAGCAGCAUUGGGUUAGUAAUUUGAAAUGCAUAUCAAAGAGAAGAAGCUUAACUCAAAACAGAUUUUCCUAACCAUCUUCAAUGUACAUGUGUAGGAGGAAUGCAUUCUUUAUUUGUAGCAGUGCAAAUGUCAGUGAUUACAAACAUGUGUGUGACUGUUUGCCAGCAAUUUGUUCUUGCCCUUAGAUGAUCAGACCCUUACGGAAUCUAGGCAGAAUGUGGAACUUCCAUUGGCUUCCACUGGCUUUGGUGUGAAAUAUAGAGAUAUGAGUAGUGGUGACAAGAGGGUACACGGGAAAGGCCCGUGGGAAAAGGCCUUUGAGGGGAAGCACACUGAUCUCUUGUUCUGCAGUGCAUGCUUGGGAUGGUAUAUGCAUGCCUUCUCUCACUAAGACUAGGACUGCUUAAAGAAUGCGAAUAUAAGCAUCCUUAUUUGGGAGAAAAAUACAUUUUCAAGGGCUGGUAAAAUGACGUGGAGGAAGGGAGGAUCCAGGGAGCCUUCUGAAGAGUAUUGUCAGGAUGUCUCUUCUCUUUCAGCCACCUGGAUAUGUUUCACAUUUUGUUUCCCAAACAAGGACUAGAUUGGAUCCCAGAAGGGAAUGGUUUCCUUAGUAUACAUUCCGAAUUCCUUUGUAAGGGAAAAAUCCACUUCAUCUGGUCUAAGAAUACAUAAGAACAAAUGAAAAUGUUGUGGCUGGAGAUGUUCCUGAGUUAAUAUCAGGAUGUUUGCCUGCUGGUUUCUGUUUUACCAAACAAAACAUAGCUGCCAAUUCAUCCAUCUGUAAAAGUGCUCCUGUGGACCCCCUCAAGAGAAGUACUGGUUAUUUUAUUUGCAGAAAAUGUUUUCUUGGGAGUUGUUUACUUUCUGUGACUGAAGUGGGGAACAUGAGGGUCCCUUUACC